GAGGGGCCUGCGGGCCGGGUCCCAUCAGCCCAGCAGAAGAUGCUGUUUCGAACGGGACCGCUCCUACCCAAUCGAGAUAGAAAGCUACAUACUAUUAUUCAUUAUCCAACUCCAUUGUCCAUUUUCGUAUUCACUCUUUUUUCCCCCCAGGAAACCUUUACUUUCUGCUUAAAGAGGAAUCACAAAUGGGCUGAGAGUGGAAGCGCUCACUUUCACGACAGAAUUCAGGAAAUAGGAACCAUGCUACCUAGUGAUCUUGCCUGUUCAACCUGUUCUUGCUUUUAUAAGUGACCCUGUAAUCUGUUACCUUUUUCUCUCAUUCCUCACGUUAGCACACUGGAAUAAGCAUAAUUUGUUUUUCGUUUCUUAUCAGUUUUCAAAAAAAUAGCACACCUUUCAAACUCUUAAAAUAUUUAUAAGCAUAAGGCUUCCUUGUUCAAUGGAGGGAAAUAAGAACACAGAUAGACACUAAUUCUGUAACACUGCUGAACUUAGCGAUUGGUGAGCCUGUGUGGUGUGCAAUCACUGUGCCAUGCUGGACAGGAAGCACGCUUUCCCUGUGAGCUGCAAUAAGCAUGAGGUAAAUGUGCUGAAGAUUCAUUAUGAUUUCACAAUGAUUUUUCACCUAGAAAAAUAAAAGAAAAAACAAAGCUUUGUUUUAAAAAAAGAAAUAUAGAUAGAGAAAAAGAAAUAGAAUCACAUGUAACCUCACUUUUAAAAUAACCACUAUGAAUACGUUGUAAAUAAAUUUCUUGUUCUUUCCAACAUGUACGUAUACGGAGAAGCAUUAAACUAUACAAGCUCAUCUCCAAACUGCUUUUGUCUCUUAGCAAUCUAAUGUUUUUAAGUGUGAUUGUAAAAUCGCAAAACAAAUUUAUAAAUGUUAAUUUUGAGUUCUCAAAAAUUUCCCAAGUAGUUGUGAGAGUUUCUAAAAAUAAUCUUCUUGGCCAUAUUUCUCUCCCCAAAGUACCAAGCUCUUUUCUACUUUACUGCUUCUCUUAUUGAGAUCAAGAACAGAAGUGUGACCGUGUCCUCCCCUCCCCCUUCCCCGUGGCAGCAUCUUUGCCACUGCUUGUGGCAUCUAACGUGUGGGAGAAAGCACGUGAUGCUUGAUGCCUGAGAUACAGGUGUUUGCACCGAGUGUGCCAUGCCCUGCCUUUAUGAACAUAAUUGAAACUAAUGGAGAUGUUGAGUUUUGUUCUCAAUGAGCCUGGUAUUUUGUUCUUUACUCUAUUUUUUGUCAAAGCUCCCCUUGCCCUAGUGCUCGUGCGUUCAUCUGUUCAUUCAACAAGUACAUGGUCCCAGAAAUACAGAGAUGGUAGAAAGCAAUACAGACAUGACCCCUGGGCUCACGGAGCCUCUGUCAAGUAGAGGAAACAGGCCUUCGGUUGCACACACCCCUACGAAUGCAUAAUUUUCCUAGGAAGGAGACUACAGGUGCUGUGCAGGAGAACAGCAGAGGGAGCACAGUCGAUGCUGCGGACUCAAGGAGGCUGCCCUCAGAUGGUGAGUCAGUGGGUGCUGGAGAAGCAUAACCUGGACCUCCAGCACCAGCUGGUCCCACAAUCAUUUUCCCCUGAUGCUCUGGCCCAUCUUCCUAGAAGUCACCUUCUAAACCCAGCCUCUCUUCUUAGAAUAAGCUCUUCCUCCAAGACUCCUCCGUCCUUUGAUAAAAGAAUUCUGUUGGGCUGUCCCUCAGAACUCUACAUAUCUAGAAUCCUGCAAUAAACUCAGUUUAUAAACACAGUUUCAAAUCUAUCCAUUUUCAUACCUUCCCAUACAAUGAUGGUUAGAAAGAGCUUCUCAGUAAAGACAAGCUAAUAUCCAGUCUAGAUGAUUUUUGUAAUGGAAGCAACUACUUCAUGAACUAUCUAUUAGAGUGCUAACACUACUCAGUGGUACUCUGUGGUACAAGGAUCGUACAAUGGCUUUCAUAACUGUAGAAGAAUAAUGGAUUGGAAGAAAAGAGAAGUUCUCUUAUUUUUCCUCAAACACGUUUGCUUUUGUCCUGUGAAUAACAGAGAAUUUUCACAGGAGGGCUAGAGGAAGACUGACAGAGAAGGAGGGAUCGAGGGGGGGAGAGGGACCGAGAGAGAGAACGAAACGGUUAUGGUAUUUUAAUUACUACGGUUGUUUGUGCUCUCCAGUUUUCCCUGACUUAAUGAAUGAGAUACAGUUGUACUCCAGUACCUUUCAUUUAUAGAGUUAGGCAAAUGUCUCUUGCUCCAUCUUUUUGAACAAUUUCAUUUUUCUUUAAUGACAUUUCUCUGUACUCUCCUUCUCUAUGCACAGACUGGGUGACAGGGGCUUUUAAUAGGUAAUGAUUGUUUCAUAAUAGAAUCUGAUGAUAACCUUGGCCUCAUAAAGUCUUGCACAUGCGUUGGAGCCAUUUAUGAAAAUAUAUGAAUCAAUGACAGAGCUGCUGUGUUUUAGGUGAACGGCAGCUAGAAGCACAGCCUUUUAAAACAGCUCGUGGGCUUCUGAGCAUGACUUCCGCGUGGGAACGAGAAGACAGACGCGCACAGCUGAGAUUCCUGCAGCCUGGACUUACACACAUCAUGGUGACAACACCAAUACCAGGGAAGGCAGAAACGAGAGAAUCUUUUUUGGGGGAAAAGGAGAGGACAGAGGAGGUGUGUUUUACGUGGAACAUAGUUUUAAAUACUAGAGAGACAUCCCAUGGAGAAACCCAAGUCGUUGGAAAUGUGGGUCUAAAACUUGGAGGUGAAUUUGGGUUUGAAGAAGUAGAUUUUGGAGUCAUUUCUGUAACUAUAAUAUUUAACACAGUGCCAUUGCCUAGAGAAAAGAGGUAAACAGAGCCUAGAAAAGGCCUUCUGUAAGGGACUGGCGGUGGGUAAAGGGGACUGAGACAACCAACUUGUAUUGAGGGCUCUGGCCCCAAGAUGGCAAGGCAGUUUGCAUACAUUAUAUGUUGACUGCAAAGGAGGUAAGCAUUGAAUAAGGAAUAAACAUUUGUCUUUCAAGAAGUUUUCCAGAAGAGGCAACACAGCAUAGUGGUGGUUAAAGGUGUGGUCUCUAAAGUAAGAGAGACCUGAGUUUGAAUACCCAUAGUGUGGCUUUAGGCAACUUACUUAGCUCUUUGACUCUUUCGGAGCCUGAGGCCAUGAUGUCCACAUCCUACACUGCAGGGUUGUUCUGAGGCUUCAGUGAGAAACUGUGUGUAAAGGGGCGGGCUCCAUAGUCAGCUCUCAGUAAGUGUUGGCUGUUGUUUCGGUAAAAUAAAGAGAUAACGUGGUAGCUUAAAAUAAUAACAAAUGAACAGAUUUUAUGGCUGUUAUUUAAAAAUAAGGGAAAUUUGAGCAUUUUUAUAGGGGAUUAUUUGCAAUGGGAGGAUAAACUUCAGCUAAAUAAGAUCUUUCAAGAUUAAACAAGUUUUUCUCGUUUUUGCAAUUAUUAUGCAAUUUGAAUAAGAUCAACUAUAGUUUGGUCUUUUAGUUCAGUGGUUCUUAUUCCCUCUUUAAAAAAGUUAGAAAUCCCCUUAAUGUAAACAAUGGCUGUUCUCUGCAAAAAAAAAAAAAAAAUGCAUAUAAACAUGCUAAAGAAUGCAUCCAGGGGCUGGCCCCGGGGCUGAGUGGUUAAGUUCGCGCGCUCCGCUGCAGGCGGCCCAGUGUUUUGUUGGUUCAAAUCCUGGGCGCGGACAUGGCACUGCUCGGCAAGCCACGCUGAGGCAGCGUCCCACAUGCCACAACUAGAAGGACCCACAAUGAAGAAUAUGCAACUAUGUAGCGGGGGGCUUUGGGGAGAAAAAGGGAAAAAAUAAAAUCUUUAAAAAGAAUGCAUCCAAAAUUUGGAAAUAAAGCAAAAGGACAAGUGGGCCAUUUCAAAGUUUUCUAGAACAGCAUCUAACAAGCCUGACUUUGGGGAUACAGCUUUGUCUGACUUACUAUUUACUAUUGAUUAGGGCCUAAAAGCUAUAAAGUUACAUCUUAACUUGCAGAAAAUUGAUAAAAUGGAAGUGAUUUUUGUCCAGUUGAGAUGCAAAUGAUUUCUCUCCAAAAGAGAAGAUAAUCUGAAAGGUUAUGCUCUGAUUGGCGUGCAGUACACUCACCAGCUUUGAAUCUAAUUUACCAAUCAUAUUCCAGCAUUCUUUCUUUUACUGACAUGAGUCUCUUAUAUCUUUCUUUGAACUGCUUUUGCCACCUUGCCGGUUCCCUCAUUAAUAAGGUAAGUAAAUUUUUCAUGCUCACUAUGUACUUGCGUGAGAGUUACAUUUCUGGCUUUUUAAAAUUAUGCUUUGGCAUAAUGUAUCAGUUAGUGCUUAAGCAAAACCAUGUGUAUAUUUAUUAUAUAUGUCUAUAUUAUAUUAAUAUAUAGUUAUUAAGAUAUAGUUUAUCACAGGGAUUUGACCUUAUCGCACUGUGGGAGCUGGUUAAGUGGUCUAAGUAAGAAUGUGAAGCUGUUUCUGUGUCUCCUGCUGGCACCUGAAGUCCACAGGCAGUUGGGAAAAGAAGAUGGAUGUGAAGGAGAGCAAGCAAAGACAAGCUGGAUGAAGGAGAAGCUGGUGUCUUCCAUCACGGAGCUGAAUACGCAUCUGGUCCAGGACUCAGGGAAGCUGAUCCAGCAGGAGGAUCUGGCAGGGGCCCAGCUGCUGCCCCAAGCCAACAAGUCCCGGGAGAUGCUCAGCGGAUACAAUCUUUCUACAGAGCGAAGUCUGAAUGGGGGCCGGAGGGAGAACGAGGAUGGACAGGACGUCCCAGAAAGCCAUCGGCGCCAGGGCCAUGCCUCGCACCUGACCUGCACAGCAGGUGGCCCAGAGCUCAAGUCAAGCAGCGGCCAGUCCCGAGUCCCGCCCUCUGAGAGGGCGCAGGCCCGGACAACGCUGGCUCAAAUACGUGAUAAACAUCGCUCGUCGACUAUACACUCAACAACCAAAAUAAGUCUCUGUAUGGACUGAAAUAGAAAUGCAAGUAUAUUGAGUGCUGAAAAUAAAGCAAGAUGUUUCUGUUGGAGUGGAUCAAUGGAAGGAAGAACUCUCCUUUAAAAGAUCUCUUGAACAUAGAUGGAGGAAUGAUGAGUCGUGUUUAAUUAUUUAAGUAUGGAAUUCACCCAAAGGGCACUUGAUGCUUCUGGUCUAUUGGGAGAUACUGGAUGUGAAAGACAGCAAAAUCCCGGAACUGGAAAGGCCAGAUGAAGAAAAGUGUGUGGAAAGUAAACAAUGCAGUGAUCGGAGGCGUGUGUGCACUUUCCUUGGACUUUAGAUGGAAGAGGGUCAACAUGCCCUUUGUUUCCGUCUGUGUGAUUGACUCGCUCUGCGCCAUGCUUGCUAACUGAGACCUUCCUUCAGCUCUUCAGCUGAGCUUCAUUCAACCCGGUGCCUGGCACAGAUUGGAAAUGAAGUGAAAUAGAGGAAAGAGCAUGAGAUUUACAUCUGGAAGAUUUGGGUUCAAGUCCUGCUCAUCGUUUGUGUGCUGUGACCUCCAGGCAGCAGUCAGUUAACUAUCGAGACGCUGUCUAGAAUGCUGGGCCUGGAGAACGCGUUCAGACUACAGACUGCCCAUCAGCCAGGCGUGUGAGUUGGAAAUCUCCCAGUCAUUUGUCCCCAAGGUUCCUUUUCGGCAAGGACACAUCACUUGUCCUAUCAGCAUCAUGGGAGAUUACAAGGAGGUGACCAUGGACAGACAUUUCAAGACGAGUCCCUCUGGCCUUAGACCUAUAGUUUGUGAAAUGAGUCAUUUUGCUUCUCCUUUUCUCUGUCCUUCUGACUCUUUUGCUCCAGCAAACUUUGAUUACCAC
rnacentral:lncRNA from 1 species